rnacentral:lncRNA from 1 species
AUGGGGGUCGGGAAGGGGUUGGGAUCACUAGUGGUUGGUGCUGCAUUGCUACGGGAGGCAGCGUGUCCCGGGAUUUGUGCUCCAGAACAUUCCCGAGCUGGCGCAGGGACGGGAGGAGACACCGGAGACCCCUCCGUGCUCCUGGGAGCCCGUAAGGCAGCAGGGUGUGGGUCUGGGGGGCUGCCGAGGGGAGUGGGGUGCUGGGGGGCUCCAGGCUCGUCCUCCAGCCCCCGCCGUGUCUCCUACCACGCCUUCUCUCUCCGGGGUCUUUGGUUUCCCGAGCGGAAUCUCCUGCUAGGCCGGGAAGUCGCCGCGGUGCCGGACGUGCUCAUCGGUGACCGCCAGCUCCAGCCCAGCAGCAAAUUCACCCCAAAUCUGCCCGUGGGGUGUGUCUGUGGGAGACCAGCGAACCCAAGCCUCCAGACCCUCCAGGAUCGCAUUCCUCCAGGAUUUCACAGCAGGGAGCAUCACCCCAGCCAGGCAUUAAGGAAGAUUAUUUUGAGUUUGUUAUUCUGGACUCGAAAAGUCUUUCCUCAGGGAUCUGAAUCCGGGGUAAAUUAGACUAUUCAGGGCUGGGAGAAGCGCUCCAAUUAAUCCCCCCCACUCGGGAGGAGGCUCUCGCCAGCUGCCAGGUCUGUGAGAUGGGAUCCAAGCCUCCACCUGAUUGAAAAAAUCACCCCUGGAGGAGGGGGGGCACAGUAUUCCUGCCAUGGCAGCAUUCCUGGAGUCACAUCCUGACUGGGAGGAGUUUCACUGCUCCAGGGAUGGAGAUGGGGACCAGCAUCCCAAUGUGUGGGAGCUGAAAAUCCUGGAAUGUGGCUGGGCACAAGAUGUGGCACAAAAUGUGGCCCUCUGUCCCCCCUCCCUGAGCUCUCUGCAUCCCAAAAGCCAAGCAGGAAAAGGGGAUGAAGGGAGGUGUGGAAGGGUGAGGAGAAGGGGAGAACCUCCAGGAUAAGCCCCAGGAUAAGGAGGGAGAAGGAAGUGGCUGAACUUACUCUUGAUGGGCAACUUAGCUCCAAAAUAAUGGAUGCAAAAAUUAAAAGAA